rnacentral:tRNA from 1 species
GGAGAGAUGGUCGAGUGGUCGAGAGUACUCCUCUCAAGGGAGCGUAGGGUUUAUAGCCUUACCGAGGGUUCGAAUCCCUCUCUCUCCGCCA